GGUCCGCUGAAACAACAACACAAGGUCUCUGAUUUCCUUUGGGUUUUCAACAGAGAGAAGGGAACAGGGACUAAAGGGAGAGAGCGUGCAUGUGUUCCCGUGCACUUGCAUGUGUGUAUGUGUGUCGGAUCUUGCCUGCACAUGUGUGUGUGUGUGUGUGUGUGUGUGUGUACACGUGUGUGUGUUCCGUCAAGGUCGUUGAUUGCGCACUGAUGUCAAAAGAAACGAACACAACGGAGGAGUCACAUGACCUACUCCGGUGCACAUCAAUCAAGCAACAUGACAACUAAAAGGCAACUCUCAUCAUAUCAGAGGAGGACAUCCCUGCUCCUCAUAACUUCCUCAUAACUUCCUCAUAAACACGUGGCCCUGUCUUACCCCUCCGCCAGUCCUCCCUCUGUUCCUCUUCUCUCCCAGUGCAGAGAUCUCUAGCAGCUGGGAGAUGAAUCAGCGCAUUGAUGUGUAGUCCAGACACUCCACUGGAGACUACUGUGCACCUAGACACCAAGUACCAAGUCGGAGCGAUGUCCCAUCUCUGUGUCUUCCUCACUGUGGGCAGAGGGGCAGUGGUUCUGUUUAGAAGGUAUUUAUUCAAACUACUUUUACAUAUCUUGUCAUUUGUAGUCUAUUGGUGUGAGCUACUUUUAAUGUAUCUUGUUACCAGAUGCUUUAGAGGGUCAAGUCAUUUCUCAGUUCUGGUCGUCAUGUGGAGCUGGGGUUGGGUUAAUUCAUAACGAAAGGCAUUGCAAGGGUUUCUGUUAUACAUUCCCACUAUAGUCAUUAAUGUCCGGAAUGAAGUAGAGUCUGUGCAACUGAACUAAAGGACAACUAAAGAAUCAGCAGUGAUAGACCACAGGAAAAGUAGAUAAAAAAAAGUGAAAUGGGUUUUUGUGAUUUUUACCAUCUGCAUUUUGAAAUAGUUAAUUUCCUUGUCACAUGACUAACUGGGUCAUCAGGAAGGCAGUUGGAAGUUCCAUCUUGGUGAAUUCUUCAAAAGGGUGAUAUCCAUUGUGAUUUGCAUUUGAAAUGAAACUAGAUCCUCUUUCCCUACCAAUGACGAGCAUAUAUAUUUUUUCCACAUGAAUUUACAUUGUAUAAUGGAAUAAAUGUACAGAAUAUAAUUAAAUGAAUGUACGAUAUAUCGUUGAUUGAACGUGUAAUAUAUCAGCGUCUGUGAUUCUUCAUUGAUCGGUGGAUGACCGAGGCCAUACAGGAGUUCAGCCUAAGACAGCUGUUCGUUCUGAUGGAUUGGCCUGUGUUAGACAUGUCCGCCAUCGACUGGGAAAACCACAAGAGAUCCCAGUAUUCUCCCUCAGCCUCUCUUCUGCUCUGACAUUCUACUGGUCGGAAUGUGACGGGACCUGCCAGGGCGGGUCGAUAAACGGGAGCGCUCCUUGAAUUCCCUAGGCCUCCCGCACAAUCGCUUUAGGAGUCCUGUCUGAAUGAACAAGUCGGAUUACCUAGAGAGAAGAUGGGACAAAGAACCCCCUGUGUUGGACGCAGCCGGCAAGGAUGGAGGGAGGGAGUUGUGGGGCUGAAUUUAAUAAAUAACAAAUUCCCUUCA